UGGGGAAUUUUGGACAAUGGGGGCAACCCUGAUCCAGCAAUGCCGCGUGAGUGAAGAAGGCCUUCGGGUUGUAAAGCUCUUUUGUCAGGGAAGAAACGGUAGUAGCGAAUAACUAUUACUAAUGACGGUACCUGAAGAAUAAGCACCGGCUAACUACGUGCCAGCAGCCGCGGUAAUACGUAGGGUGCAAGCGUUAAUCGGAAUUACUGGGCGUAAAGCGUGCGCAGGCGGUUGCGUAAGUCAGAUGUGAAAUCCCCGGGCUCAACCUGGGAAUUGCAUUUGAGACUGCACGGCUAGAGUGUGUCAGAGGGGGGUAGAAUUCCACGUGUAGCAGUGAAAUGCGUAGAUAUGUGGAGGAAUACCGAUGGCGAAGGCAGCCCCCUGGGAUAACACUGACGCUCAUGCACGAAAGCGUGGGGAGCAAACAGGAUUAGAUACCCGAGUAGUCCCUGAGCGGGCUGGCAAGGCGCAU
rnacentral:rRNA from 1 species